ACACAUGCAAGUCGAGCGAUUCUCUUCGGAGAAGAGCGGCGGACGGGUGAGUAACGCGUGGGUAACCUGCCCUGUACACACGGAUAACAUACCGAAAGGUAUGCUAAUACGAGAUAACAUAAGAAAUUCGCAUGUUUUUCUUAUCAAAGCUCCGGCGGUACAGGAUGGACCCGCGUCUGAUUAGCUAGUUGGUGAGGUAAUGGCUCACCAAGGCGACGAUCAGUAGCCGACCUGAGAGGGUGAUCGGCCACAUUGGAACUGAGACACGGUCCAAACUCCUACGGGAGGCAGCAGUGGGGAAUAUUGCACAAUGGGCGAAAGCCUGAUGCAGCAACGCCGCGUGAGCGAUGAAGGCCUUCGGGUCGUAAAGCUCUGUCCUCAAGGAAGAUAAUGACGGUACUUGAGGAGGAAGCCCCGGCUAACUACGUGCCAGCAGCCGCGGUAAUACGUAGGGGGCUAGCGUUAUCCGGAUUUACUGGGCGUAAAGGGUGCGUAGGCGGUCUUUUAAGUCAGGAGUGAAAGGCUACGGCUCAACCGUAGUAAGCUCUUGAAACUGGAGGACUUGAGUGCAGGAGAGGAGAGUGGAAUUCCUAGUGUAGCGGUGAAAUGCGUAGAUAUUAGGAGGAACACCAGUAGCGAAGGCGGCUCUCUGGACUGUAACUGACGCUGAGGCACGAAAGCGUGCGGAGCAAACAGGAUUAGAUACCCUGGUAGUCCACGCCGUAAACGAUGAGUACUAGGUGUCGGGGGUUACCCCCCUCGGUGCCGCA
rnacentral:rRNA from 1 species